rnacentral:lncRNA from 1 species
UUGGCAUUCUAUAUACUCAAUCUGAAACUUUACAACACUUCUUAUAAAUAAGCAUUAUUUUCCUCUUUGAGCCUCAGCUAACUUAAAGGUCCAAAGUAACACAAUCAAGUUAUAAUACUGACAUCUAUCUCCAUGGGAGGUGUUGACAUUUUGCUGAAACCUUCCAAGACGGGAACUCCUGCUGUGGAUAGGAGAUGCCAUUUCAUUGAAAAUGAGAAAUCAGAAGUCAAAUAUACUAGCUCAAAUAUGCAGAGGUCAAGAGACAGUGUUGCAAUUUCAACAGUGACAGCAGUAACAGAAUUUUUGUCUGAUAAGUUUUGUUGGCUUUUAAGCUAUAAUGUUGGUGUCUCCAAAAGUUCAGAUGUCAUAUGGAAGCCUACAAGGAAAGCCUGUGAUGCUAUGGAAAAUGUAAAGCCUCAUGUUAAAAGAUAAGGUUUUUUGAAGAAAAGAGUAGAGAAUAAAGAGAAAAUGAUCCAUCUGGCA